CAUCAAGGUCUCAACUUCCAUCGCUUCUCUAAGAAAAAAGUGUUACAGAAACCCAACCAUCAAUUUUUAUUUGCACCGUCAAUCUUCUUCUUCUUCCUACCCUAUAAACAAUUUUUAACUGAUCUCUUCAUUUCCUGCCAUGCAAUUUUCUUCUUCUUUUCGAUUCAACAUAGAUCCAGUGAUUUGAAAAAGUUUGAGAUUUAAUCACCAAGCCAACGUGCCAAGCAGCUUCCUUUCUCUUCCUCCAGCUCCGUGCUAAUCCGUAAGGAUUCGAUCAGUGCGAAGAAACAAAGCACUGGAUUUGGGAUCAGCAUGUGUGCAAGCUUCUAUGCGCAUCCCCUAAUCAUUCAGUGUCUAACAAAGAGAUCUCGAACUGGAUCCUGUGAGAUUAGUUGAAAUCAAUCAAGUAUUGGAAUCAAUCCAUCAAGCUUUUCACCACCAGGUUCCAUAUCUUUCUCAUUCACGAACUUCCUUUCAAUCUGAACCCAAUUUUUUUAAUCAUGCUUUCGUUGGAACUGGUUGGUACUAAACAUGUGAGCUGCAAAAACUGGAUAAAGAUUAUUCUGAGUCUCUCAGAUGCUUAGUACAGCUACGUAAUCUUCCCUUCCCCUUCUCCCUAUCUUAUUUUGUUAUAAUUGAUAAGGUCAAGUCAUGGUGGCGGUGGAUUCUGUGGUCCUCCAAUCGUCGGAGUAUACGUCUCCCCCCAUCUUCCCCACUCCGGUAUUUAUGGAAGACGGAUCUAAAGACAAAGGACUACAAUGUAAGUUCAGAUUUAUCCAUUGCAGUGAGCUAGAAGAAGCAGAGUUAUCUCUGUGUGAGACAAGUUCCUUGCACUACGAGGGAGAGCUCUUUUGGGAAGAAUUGAGACUGAAAGGAAAACAUAGUAUGAAGGCAGGAUUGCUCCUCCUUCGAUGUCUAUUAAUUUGCUGUGUUAUAUUGAUUGUCUAAUAUAUUGUUCUUAAAGUAAAAUCUCUCCAGGGUCUAGAAGGUUCCAAGAUAUCCAAAGGAACCAGCCAAAAUCAGGCUUGCGAAGCAGACAUGACUACCAAAAAAAGUUUUGAUUUUGUUUUGUUAAUGAGUUUGGCUAUGGACACCAAUGAUUGAAGCGAUGCAUAAAUGAUAGUCUGGUGAUGCAUUAGAGCUUAAACAAAUUUCAUGAUAUAUUCAACCGCUUUCUGGAACAAUAGACAGACUAGAUCGAUUCUGUCUUCAUGUCCAGACGAUCUCGCCCUCAGUUCAACCUAAUUCGGCGAAAGCAAUUGAGUUUUCCGGAGUUGGGCAGGAAAGUUUGCACAGAGAAGACUAACUAUGAAGGAAGAGAUCCAGAGAAGGACAAUACAGGCCGAGUGCUUGAUCUAACUAAAGGUAAGGAGAAAAAAAACUCAAAUGAACAUCAUCAUCACCGUCGCCAUCAUUCUGAUACUUCAUUUCAUAUCUCUGGAAUAUUUUUAAGUCGAACUAAUUGAUUCUACUACCAAAUCGCAACGCUGUGAAUGGCUUUAAGCUAUUUAAAAUCAUCUAUCACGGUCCCAUCAGCUGUUCUUCUUCUAGGAGGCUGCCUCUUCGCCUGUAAGUUAUUGAUCACAUGAUACACAAGAUUCUAAACUGAAAACCUAUGUUGGCCUACUUCCUUACUAAAUCACCAAAGACGAGAGUUCUUGGCGAUACCAUAGGACUUGGCUCUGCCUUUCUUUUCUCUUUGGUCUUUGGGUUUCGCUUGGCAUCUUCCCGAAAACUGGUCCCAGCAGGCCUCAGCAUGUCGUUCUUUGCAAUGGUGCAUAAGCUCGAUAGUUUAACCUGUGGCUGUAUCCGGCUUUGCUAUGUUGUUGCCUCUGCUAUAGCCUGAUGAGCAUAGCCCUUUAGCCAAAUAGAAAUUCCUAAAAUCAUGUAUCAAACACAAAGUUUUGCUUUUGCCCACACCCCAAUAAGUGUGUAUAGAGUAAAUAGUGAUAAUCAAACACAGAUGCAUUUUCUUUA